UGGAAUUUCCAAAAUGGCUUUUGUUACCAUGGAAACAAUGCAAAAAAAUUCAAAAAAAAUAAAAAUGCUACAAACUGGAUGAAACUUUACAGAAAUGGUCACUCGCAUAUGCAGAGUGACUUUUGACGUUGGAAUUUUUAAAAUGGCCGCCGUAACCAUGGAAACAGCAAAAAUGUCCAAAAUAUCAAAAUGCUCCAAACCGAAAGUUUACAAAAAUGAUAAUUUUCAGGUGUAGAUGCAUUCUUUGACUUUACAAUUUUCUAAAUGGCUGCCGCUCGCCUGGCAAUAGGGGAAGGGUGCCAUCCGCUAUUGCUUGCAAUGGCAAAUCUAGUUAUGGCACCCUCAACGGAGUUGGGGUGAUAUAUUGUUAUUGUUCGUUUCUUUUUUUUAUGGCACCCUCAACGGAGUUGGGGUGACAUAUUGCUUUUCUACGUUUCUUUUUUUCUUAUUAUGGCACCCUCAACGGAGUUGGGGUGACAUAUUGUUAUUCUACGUUUCUUUUUUUUCUUUUUAUUAUGUCACCCGAUCGACAAUGUCGGGUGACAUAUUGCUAUUCCUCUGUUUCUUUUUCACUAUUCUUAUUAUUAUUUUUCUUCCACCUACUUUUGUCCGGCAGUUUUCUCAGAGCCAAUGGAACCAAUCUUAAUGAUAGUUCACUAUAACAAGGACCCCUGACUUUAGAGUUGCAGUGCAACUUUGGAACUAUAAAAUGGCUGCCGUUACCAUGGAAACAGCAAAAAUGUGAAAAAAAAUCAAAAUUGAAAAUCCAUUCAAUCUUUCAUCAUUAGACCCAACAUGAUGAAACUUUAUGGGAAUGUUGCCUGGCAUGCCAAGAUGUGUUAACCAUAUUUAUAAAUUCCAAAAUGGCUGUUAUUACCAUGGAAACUGGAUACACAUUUACCAUUAGACCCUAUGGGAAAUUCUUAAAAGUGGCAUUUACUUCCUUAAAAUGGUAGGUCAAAUCCAUUGAAACUCUGAUGGCAUUUUCCCUCCCAUAUACCAAUGUGGUAUCUGCCAUUAGAAAUUUGGAAUGGUCUGUGUUACCAUAGAAACAAGCCAAAAUAUCAAAAAUUUCAAAAUGCUCAAAAAAUAAUGAAACUUAACAUGAUUGUUACUGUCAAGUAUGCAUGAGACUUUUGGAGUUGGAAUUUCCAAAAUGGCCACCGUUGCCAUGGAAACUGCAGAAAUGUCAAAUAUUUUCAAAAUGCUCCAAACUUAAUCAAACUUAAUAUUAUUGUCAACUGGCAUGUAUAAAUGAGACUUUUGACUUUGGAAUUUUCAAAAUGGCUGCCGUUGCCAUGGAAACAGCAGAAAUGUGAAACUUUUGACAAUGCUCUUAUUGUACUGAAAAUGUACAGAAAGAUAUAUCGCAAUUCAUAGAUCUUCAUUUACUGUUAGGUUGUUUUGAAAUGGCUACCGCUUAGUGGCAAUGGGGGGAAGGGUGACAUCCGCUAUUGCUUGCAAUGGCAAU
rnacentral:lncRNA from 1 species